rnacentral:lncRNA from 1 species
GCUUAUCGUCAUGAAAUAGCAUGCUGCUUCUUAUUACAUUAGCAAACUCUAAAGCAAGGAUAAGGCCUAAUGAUUACCACAUUGAGACACAGUGUCCAUAAUUAUGGACAUGAACUUCGGAGGUCUACCAUAAGCUUUUUGACAAUUGUUAAAGUUGGCGCUGGUGUAUAAGCCUUCAGUCAACCCUCCGCCUUAUCCCUGAUUGGUGCUGCCUCUCUCGGGGGAGCUUAGACUUUUUAUAUCCACGUCAGCAAUCGGCGGUAAACAGUUGCCGAAAUCAGCCACUGGAGGUUGGUAAAUAAACACGACUGUUAUCAGUCAAAGAUAUUUUUUCUCUCAAGUUAUGGUGUUUUUAAUUCCAAAGAGGAAGGUUGCAGGCGAUGAUUUCAGUACCUUCCAAUUUAUUUCCCCUCAAUUUCCGUACGUUCGGUGUGAUUUUUGAAAAGUCAUGUCCAUAAUUGUGGACCAAUAUGAUCAAAUGACGUCAAACUUUCCCGCCCGCGCGACCUAACCUCACAUUUUUCAGUUUUCGCGGUUUUUCUGAGAAGUGAGAAGUACUUAGAUGUUGUUACUGAAUAUAAGUUCGCGAUGAGUUAUAAAUUGGUUUCAAAAUUUAAAAUUUAAGAUAUCAUGGAUCGACUCAGUCUCAGAGAUAAGCAAAUCAACGAUUUGUUGAGUUUGCUGGAUGAAUCGGACAUAGAAUUGUCCGAUGAUGAAACUAUCUCCCCUGGCCAAUUGAACCCGCUAGACCCCUCCGAUGAAGAUGAAAGUGAAAGCGAUAUCGAUAUUACAUGUGUACCUGAUCCAAUUUUCCAUCCUCCUAAUACACCUGACCCCGGUCUCACUCCACCAUCCAUUAUGUCGAAUUCGCCAUAAUUAAUACACACCAAACCCAUCUACGAGCCCUCGAACAGCACCUGCCCCCAAUCCUGCAAGAAUUUCGCCUAUAUUUCCUCGAUGGAAAAGGCCAACUCACCAGCUCUACAUAUGGUAGUACCUCGAAUAAUGAAAGUUUGUAGCAGAUCAGGAGAUUUAACUGCUCUGAACUUUCCUACAAGUUCCUCGAGUAUAUUUUUUUUUUUUUUUUUUUUUUUUUUUUUUUUUUUUUUUUUUUUUUUUUUUUUUUUUAAAAACCUUGGAAUGCGUUCAUUUGAUAACUUUUGAACUUUUUCCUGACGUCAACAAGAAAUCUCUAAAUUUUUUAUCUAAAGACUAUGACUGUUCUCAAGUGAAAAUUCCCCAAAAACACACAAGAGCGCACCGAUGCAGUUAAAGUUCUUGACCUGACAGCCUUUUAAUUCUAUAAAAAUAAGACGAUUUUCUGUUUUUUAAAUAAUGAGCAGGACUUACAUUUGGACGUAAAUCUGUUUGAUGGAAAUGUAUGUAUGUAUAAAGCCGCUUUUAUAGCGCUCUCUGGCGCUCUGCGACUCCUAGCCGCCAAAGUCCCCUAUCCUCCCAAAGCCCUUAGGCCUUUCAGCCCUUUAUUUGAUGGAAAUACGUCCAUUUAUUCGACAAAACGACCCUGCUAUGGAGGUGAAUUCAUAGAAUCGUACUGUAUAGAUCUAAGAGGAUAAAGAUCCUUUUCAAAAAUAUUUUUCUGUUCUAUUUUAACUUCUUACAUUUUUCUGUUAUUAUGAGACAUGAAGUUAUUUCUCUUGUGCUUUUUUAGCUAACGAUACAAAAAUGAGGAAUUUUAUUGAUAAAGCCUGUCUCAUUUUUCAUAAUAAAAAAGUAAUCCUUAGCUAUUUUGUCACAUUUGGUUGUAACCUAUAUUUCAGGUAUAUUAUUUGUGCCUAAUCCAAUUUCAGUAUUUCCUGGGAAGGAAAACGAAAUUUUUAUAAUCAAUGAUAUACUGGAGGUUGAGAAGUUACGAAACCUCAUUAUAUAUGGAUUACAUUUUGCAAUUCGGAACUAUAAUUUUCGGCUCAUCCGUAAAAACACUUAUAAGUACAGGGAAAUUAAUGGUACAUACGUUGUUUCUAAACUGAGCCAGAAAUUGUAGUUCCAAGUUGCAAAAUGUAGUCCAUAUUGUCUUUCUCUUUUUCUCUCUCUCUCUCUCUCUCUCUCUCUCUCUUCUGUCUCGCCUUUAUUUUCUAGCUCUGCACCUAUUGAAAUCUCAAUAUAUCCUGCGAACAACUGAUGACCUGUACGAUGUAAAGUGUGUUAGUCUGACACGAUCAAAUACCUCAUUUCUUUGAUAAGCGUGGGUCAAAACCACAUAACAAGUGCGUCUCUCCAUACAACCACUCUAAUUCCUUACUCUUACGGCUCUGGUUUGCGUACUUGGGGACGUUUCUUUUACCUUGUGGGUCCAAGCGCAAGCCUUUAGAUUCUUAACUGAGGACUGUAGCAGACAUGAUCGUGAACCGCUUUUCAACAAAUAGCAACAAAGAGAGUGAUAAGUUUUUCGAGCUCUUGGAGAAAAGCGGUGCAGCAUAUGAGGCGAUUAAUGUUGUGAAAAAUGCAUUCUACUGGCUACAGGUGAUCGAAAAAAGUUUUUAUCGAUGAUAUCCAGGAGGAUGAGCAGUGAUAUAAUCUUUUUCUCCAGCUUUCUCUCUCCUUUUUCUUCGUAGUUAAUUUUAUUUGCUGCUAAAAAUUAUUAUUUUUUUAUUUAUAUAAUGGGGAUUCGCAAGUUUUCUAGCUAAAUGGAAACUUUAGCACACCCAUGAAGAAUUGGACUACAUUUUGCGAUUUGGAACUAUAAAGUCUGGCUCUUCUGGAAAUACACUUAUGUGCAAAGGGAAACUAAUGGCACAAACGUUCUUUUUAAAAAGGGCUAGAAUAGUUCUAAAUUGCUAAAUGUAGUCCAAUUCUUAUUUGACUGAUUUUGAUAGUAUGGCGAACUUUAUAAUCUGUGAUACAAGUUCCCAAAGCAUUCUUUAAAUUGGUUUCAUGAUUGGGGAAUAGUAUGUGCCUGAAUUGAUUAAGCGUCAAUUAAGUUCCUCUAUUCUUAUUUUUGCCAGAAAUGUUCAUCAGUUUUACGGAAGAAAAUUUUUAGGCAAAAAUAACAAUGUACAAUAUAUUUAUUACCAGUAUAAAUCUCUAAGGCUAAUCAUCUUUUUAGGCGAAUUUACAUUCGAUUUUGGGUCCUUAUCUUGAAAAACACUGCUCAUAAAUAUUAAAAUUAAGCUCUAAAGUAUCUAUACAUAUAUGUAUUGAUGCUCUUUCCUUAUUGCGGGUUACUAAGGAGGAAGUAAUAGCUGUGAUCCCUAUAUUUCUUGCAGGUGUUGACAAGGAGAAUUCUAGUGAAUUGAGAAUUGAGAGGGGAUCAUCUUCAAAGACGAUCAAAGAACAGCGCCAGCCUCUUCAAGAUUUACAGAUCUCAUCGGUACAUCUGGUAACCGUACUUUUCCUCCUCAGCCAGCUUUCACUGUUACUCCUUCAGAGGAAAAUGAAAACACCUGCCGUCGUAUGCAAACUAGGAAGCGCAGGAUACCCCUAAGAUUCCUGAAUCCUGACGAAAGUCCAUCUGUCAGGUCCGGCAUAAACUCAUCGCAAACUGUUCAAACCAUCAACACUAGAUUUACUUGGUCUUAACACAAGCAUGUUUGCUCGUAUUGAUGCCUUAGCCACAGCUAAACGUUCUAUUCCUGCAGUUCCUACUAGUGUUAUUCCAGCGGUCAAUGUUCCUUCAGCUCCUUGCUCUUACAACCCUUGACCCAAUCUCCAUCGCAGGCCCUAGCUCCGCACCAUCCUCAGGACCUGCUCUGCCACCUCUGACCAGAACAGAUGCAGCCAAGAAGACACAAGCUCCUCUUCUU